CCGCUUCGUGACGAUGAACUCAUCGCGUAUAUUCUCGCCGGCCUCAAUGAAGACUUCAAUCCAGUAUUCACUGCGGUGGUUGCCCGGGUGGAUCCCAUCAAACCAAGUGAGCUUUAUAGCCAACUUCUCAGUUUUGAGC